GAAGACAUUGUGUCUUCGAGUCGUUGAUUUCACACUGCCGAGAAAAGCCUCUAGAUAGAAAAUAGGUGCCCGUACCGCAAACCGACACAGGUAGUCAAGAUGAGAAUUCUAAGGUGAGCGAGCGAACUCUCGUUAAGGAACUCGGCAAAAUGACCCCGUAACUUCGGGAGAAGGGGUGCUCUUUAGGGUUAACGCCCAGAAGAGCCGCAGUGAAUAGGCCCAAGCGACUGUUUAUCAAAAACACAGGUCUCUGCUAAACCGUAAGGUGAUGUAUAGGGGCUGACGCCUGCCCGGUGCUGGAAGGUUAAGAGGAGUGGUUAGCUUCUGCGAAGCUACGAAUCGAAGCCCCAGUAAACGGCGGCCGUAACUAUAACGGUCCUAAGGUAGCGAAAUUCCUUGUCGGGUAAGUUCCGACCCGCACGAAAGGCGUAACGAUUUGGGCACUGUCUCAACGAGAGACUCGGUGAAAUCAUAGUACCUGUGAAGAUGCAGGUUACCCGCGACAGGACGGAAAGACCCCGUGGAGCUUUACUGUAGCCUGAUAUUGAAAUUCGGCACAGCUUGUACAGGAUAGGUAGGAGCCUUUGAAACGUGAGCGCUAGCUUACGUGGAGGCGCUGGUGGGAUACUACCCUAGCUGUGUUGGCUUUCUAACCCGCACCACUUAUCGUGGUGGGAGACAGUGUCAGGCGGGCAGUUUGACUGGGGCGGUCGCCUCCUAAAAGGUAACGGAGGCGCUCAAAGGUUCCCUCAGAAUGGUUGGAAAUCAUUCAUAGAGUGUAAAGGCAUAAGGGAGCUUGACUGCGAGACCUACAAGUCGAGCAGGGUCGAAAGACGGACUUAGUGAUCCGGUGGUUCCGCAUGGAAGGGCCAUCGCUCAACGGAUAAAAGCUACCCCGGGGAUAACAGGCUUAUCUCCCCCAAGAGUUCACAUCGACGGGGAGGUUUGGCACCUCGAUGUCGGCUCAUCGCAUCCUGGGGCUGUAGUCGGUCCCAAGGGUUGGGCUGUUCGCCCAUUAAAGCGGUACGCGAGCUGGGUUCAGAACGUCGUGAGACAGUUCGGUCCCUAUCCGUCGUGGGCGUAGGAAAUUUGAGAGGAGCUGUCCUUAGUACGAGAGGACCGGGAUGGACAUACCUCUGGUGUACCAGUUGUCGUGCCAACGGCAUAGCUGGGUAGCUAUGUGUGGACGGGAUAAGUGCUGAAAGCAUCUAAGCAUGAAGCCCCCCUCAAGAUGAGAUUUCCCAACUUCGGUUAUAAGAUCCCUCAAAGAUGAUGAGG
rnacentral:rRNA from 1 species